rnacentral:rRNA from 1 species
GACGAACGCUGGCGGCGUGCUUAACACAUGCAAGUGGAGCGACGAACCGGGGCUUGCCCCGGGGCAGAGCCGCGAACGGGUGAGUAACACGUGGGUAACCCACCUCGAUGACCGGGACAACCCGAGGAAACUCGGGCUAAUACCGGAUGUGAUCGCAUCCCAUAAGGGAAGUAAUGAAAGAUAGCUUCGGCCUUCGCAUCGAGACGGGCCCGCGGAGCAUUAGCUUGUUGGUGGGGUAACGGCCUACCAAGGCGACGAUGCUUAGCUGGUCUGAGAGGACGAUCAGCCACACUGGGACUGAGACACGGCCCAGACUCCUACGGGAGGCAGCAGUGGGGAAUCUUGCACAAUGCGCGAAAGCGUGAUGCAGCAACGCCGCGUGGGGGAAGACGGCCUUCGGGUUGUAAACCCCUUUCAGUUGGGACGAAGCUUCGACGGUUAAUAGCCGGCUGGAGUGACGGUACCUUCAGAAGAAGCCCCGGCUAACUACGUGCCAGCAGCC